AUGCUAAGCAGUAAUAUCAAUUCUCGAAGGAUUUUACAAAUCGGCACAAGGCCUCAAACAUGGCAUCAAGCCCAGUAAUAUCAAUGAAGUAUGUGUAUCAAUCACCAGUAUAGUAUAAACAUCACACGGGGUGGACCAAUUCACAAUCCCCAGUAGUAUCCCACCCCGCACUCGCCAUGGAGUGCGUGUCACGCCUCAAUAUAGCGAUACGAUGUGAAAGUCCGGGGUUUCAAACCCUCAGAAAUAGCAUUUACAUCUAUUACUCACCUUUAACUGGUCGUAGACUAGUCCGCAAUGCCCAUUCCUCUUGAAUCGACAUCUUAGCGCGUCAAAUCUAGUCAAAACCACAACGAAUACGUCACAAUAGGCUAAGGGAAUAUAACCCAAUCGAAAAGACUCGAAAAAUGUCGAAAAUCCCGAAAUUAGCAAAACCCGAGCCCCGGGCCCACGUCUCGAAAUUCAGAAAUUUUUACAUCAAUACGACCCUUAUCUCGCCACGAGUCUAUACAUACCAAAUUCACAAAAAUCGGAGUUCAUUUGACCCCUCAAAUCACCAUUUAAUUCUCUUAAGUUUCAAGCCCUAAACCACUAUUUUUGUCCAUAAAUUACUUGAGUUUUCCGCUCUAAUCCAUGUAUUUAACUUGGAAAUAAGUAGAAACAACUCACCUUUGAUGCUUGAUGAAAUCCCUCUUGAAAUUCUCUCCAAAAUAAUCCAAGCCA
rnacentral:lncRNA from 1 species